CUGAACCAUGAUUACAGAUACAAAAUAUAACACUGCUUUGAAAAAUACAGAGUAAUAGUCAAUAUAGACAUAAGAGCUAUAUUUUACUUAAUGUGUAUUCAUAAUUACAAAACAAAUAUAGAGUCUAGAUACAAGUCUGGUUUAAAAAAUGUUUACCGUUGUCAUUGACAUCUUUUAUUCAUUAUGUUAUAUUCUUUUGUAAAUCGCAGCCAGGGCUUAAAUAUUCAAACAUAUAGUCACCUAUCUUAUUCACUUUUGAUAUUCAUUGAAAAAAGUUUUGUUUUUUUGACUGGUGUUAAUAUUGGAAAUUGAUAUCCAACUAAAAAUAUAAUUCCAUAAAAACGAGAUGAAUAGAAAAUCAUUCAUAUCUGUAUACAUGACCGGAUCUGAUUUAUAUUAACUCUAUUCACUUUCUUAAAGAAAAGAGUACAAUGUUAACAGCAGUAUCAUUUUCGUAGCAUAAGUUCAUACAUUAAAAUUUAAUGUAAUGUUGUGAAAAUAAAGAAAGAAAGUGCCAAUAGACAUUCUUAUCCACUCAAAAAAUAUCAAGUUGCAAAUAUU
rnacentral:lncRNA from 1 species